GGCCUCCCAAAGUGCUAGGAUUACAGGCGUGGGCCACUGUGCCUGGCCGAAUUUUUUUUCUUAAUCAGAAAAGCAUUGCCUCUUCUGUUGAUUUAUUCAACUGGUUAAAUCUUGACUCCAGGAAAUCUGCUCAGAGGAAGUUUUUCAGUCCUCCGUGAUUAUUCUCUGUAUGGCUAUUGGGUUUACCCCUGGUGUAUCAUAUGCUCCCAAGGGUUUUAAAUGCUCCCCAGCAGCCACUUGAACAUCAAAUGAUUGCCAUCCGGCUCAGACAACUUGAGGAAACCAACACCAAUUAUGUAAUUCCUGGCAGUGAGAUGACUUUGAACCCCAGCAUAUCUUUUGAUAACGGUAACAUCUUCCUGACUCUUCGUCCCAACAAGUGCAUCAAUAGUGCUAAGCGAGAGGAAAGCUGUGCCAUUUGGUCACACUCUCAGCUUGCUGAAGGAAAGACCGAAGUGGGGAGAAAUGUUAAAAGAAAAAAAUUAAAAUGAAGACUCAGGCCUGAAAAAUUUCUGAACAAACAAAAUCAGGAAGAGGAGAAUUGGAAAUAAAUGAAGAAUUGCACUCACUAAAGUAAGAUGUAACUUUUUGGGAAUCGAGAGGGCAGAACAAAAGUUCAUGAGCAUGAGACGUGGUAGAUGUGAAAACUGAGUUAUUGACGUUUGAAGAAUCUGUUACAGCUAGAUGCUCAGACUGUGCAGAUAAGGACUGGAAGACGUUGGUGCUUCUCAGCCACGAGGGCCAUCAUGUGGGAUUUCUCUCUUCCAGCCACUGAAACCACAGCUGAGACGCUGGCUGGGACAACUCAGCUGCAACCAAAACCAUCCCAGUAGGAGGUUGAAGUAAGUCUGUGGCUCCUGAGAUAUUUUCCAUCUCUUACAAGGCUGGAUUUAAUCUAAAGCUUGAUAAACAAGACAAAACAAACUCUCCGCUUAGCUUUUAGUAAAUAGAUGCCAUUUCUUGUUGUCACUUGUCUAUUGUCACAGCUAAGCGAGUAGUUCUUGGGAUGACAUCAUACUUAACCGUACUCUCAUUUUAAAUUACCCUUUGUUGCAAAGCCUCAUCAACACUGAGCUGCAUUAUUACAUAAACCGAAGGCUGAUGGUCACCCCAUUUGUCUUGUGGAAAAUGAGUGUGUUCUGUGACCGUGGGAACAGCCCGUUCUUGGGAGAGGUAUCUUUCACUUCUGGUGAGGAUUGGUCUCUGUCUUGGUUAUAAAGGGAAGGGUCUCCCCCUCCACCCUGUUUGGCAGAGAGCCUUUUUCUGUCACAUUUGUUGCUACUGUGGGUUCUGUGGUUUUUAAGAGAGCAGAAAUAUUCAGCUAUUCUGGUUUCCUCUUUUUCUGAAAACCCAGUAUUAACUUCUCACGGACUGGCAUUUUGUAAAAUUUGCUUUUGAAAAGCAGUCCGUGUUGUGAAAUGCUCGUAUACACGGCUGGAAAUAUCCUUCUGUAACGGAUGCUGUCAGGCAGCAGGAGAUGCUGCUGUUUGUUCUGUGGACAGCAUCAUUUCUUUGCUGCCUCCUUCUCCCCAGUGGGUGUGCAGACAGCAUAUCUGGGGACCUGAGGGAGCUUCUCCCUGAGGCCUGGGUUUUAAAGGCCCAGUGGGCAGGCGUGGGGUCUGCACAGCUCCAACUAGCUGGCAGCUUGGACAAAUCGUCUCAUUUUUCAGGACCUUGACUUCAUCCGUGACAAGAAUUUCGGGCUAGGUGAUCUCCAAGGUGCCUUUCAGCUCUCAAUUUUUUAUUUCAUUUCCUUCUCAUCACCAUUGCUUUUAUUUAUGGAGGGGUGCACUGAGCUCCAAGGAAGUGUGCUGUCUCUAAGUUUCUUUUGUCAUUUCCAAAGCACAACGUCAAUGCUUUAGGAAGUGGAGUUUAAGUCAGAGCAGUGUGUCCUGUCUAAAACCUUCUCUCUGGAGCCUACAUUGAGA